UACGGGGGGGGCAAGCGUUGUUCGGAAUUACUGGGCGUAAAGGGUUCGUAGGUGGCCCGCUAAGUCAGACGUGAAAUCCCUCAGCUCAACUGGGGAACUGCGUCUGAGACUGGUGGGCUUGAGUGCAGGAGAGGAACGCGGAAUUCCAGGUGUAGCGGUGAAAUGCGUAGAUAUCAAGAGGAACACCUGAGGUGAAGACGGGUUGCUGGGCUGACACUGACGCUGAGGCGCGAAAGCCAGGGGAGCAAACGGG
rnacentral:rRNA from 1 species